GAUGAACGCUGGCGGCGUGCCUAAUACAUGCAAGUCGAGCGAACGGACGAGAAGCUUGCUUCUCUGAUGUUAGCGGCGGACGGGUGAGCAACACGUGGAUAACCUACCUAUAAGACUGGGAUAACUUCGGGAAACCGGAGCUAAUACCGGAUAAUAUUUUGAACCGCAUGGUUCAAAAGUGAAAGACGGUCUUGCUGUCACUUAUAGAUGUAUCCGCGCUGCAUUAGCUAGUUGGUAAGGUAACGGCUUACCAAGGCAACGAUGCAUAGCCGACCUGAGAGGGUGAUCGGCCACACUGGAACUGAGACACGGUCCAGACUCCUACGGGAGGCAGCAGUAGGGAAUCUUCCGCAAUGGGCGAAAGCCUGACGGAGCAACGCCGCGUGAGUGAUGAAGGUCUUCGGAUCGUAAAACUCUGUUAUUAGGGAAGAACAUAUGUGUAAGUAACUGUGCACAUCUUGACGGUACCUAAUCAGAAAGCCACGGCUAACUACGUG
rnacentral:rRNA from 1 species